rnacentral:lncRNA from 1 species
GUCUUUUUACAGUUAGCCUGUUUGGUUCAUCAGCUGUCGCAUCUCAGCUAGAGCACCUCUGUCACCUCUUCUUUUUCCCACAACUGCUCCAGUUUCAGAAGAAAAUGGCGCAAUGACUUGGGUCAGUUGAGUUGUGUUUUGCACGAGUUUUGAGGAAGGAACGUUCAACGGUCACUGUCUCGGUGGUAUACCUAGGAGAUGUGGAAAUUGAAGAGAUCCAGACAGAAGGAAUAAAUAGU